AGUGGCUCUAGGGGUCAACAACUUGAUGGGUCCUACGUACUCUUCCAAUACCAGCAUUUCAUUAGCUUCUCAUCUACAGCCAUCUAAGUACAGGUUUUCUCGGUUACUCUAUUUUUUUCAAGCCGGAUGAGAUAUAAAAGAUCAUGUCCAGCUAAACUCCUUUUGCUUUCUUAUUGAAGCAUUAUAUAAGACAAGUUAUAAUUAUACCAAGAUCAAGUUGCUUGUUAUUUUAUUUGAAGGUAGUUUGUGUUAAUUAGGAUAGUCGGAUAGGUUAUUAAAUAAAACAGCUAUUGUGGGUGCAUGAUGAGUAUUAACGGUAUGGCAAAAUUCGUGCCUUCAGGUUCCUUGUACAUAAACCAUUAUAUAAAUCAGACUUUAAAUUUCUCUCAUUUCUAUUAUUCUUAUCUUAGAAUAAAUUUGAUCAUGAGAACAUUGCUCAAGUCUUAGUUCUCUGAACACUGUUUUCCUUUAUGAUGUAAAGUUAUGAUGGGGAAUGUUAUUCCUGCAUAUUUGAUUUGGAAGAUUCUGAUUCAUGUUCUUUUGGAAUGUUUCUGUGUGUCUCUUGUGUGUAGAGAUGUCUUGGUCCAUCCAAGAAUGUUCGCCAGAUAGAUCUUAAGAGUUCAGGUCAGUACUGCCCUGAUGGAUAUACACUUGUUUGAUGAAUUGUACUACACAGAGCUCCAAAUUGUAGAGUAGAUUAAUGUUUUAUUAGUACUAAUUGAUAAACAUUGAAAAGAAAAAGGAAGCACUACUCUAGAAGUCACAAAGACUUGACACUAAUGUUAUCCGAAUAUUUUGCCUUAAUUCCACUACUCUUUCACCUUAGGAUGGAAUUGAUGAAGAAACAGUGUUUUGCGUAUGCUUAUGCUCAUGCUCUUCUUGGCCAACUCUGCACAUGCAUAUGCUGCUCUUGCCAUAUGACUUUCUCUAAUAACCAACAGUAGUUGGUAGUAAGACAGUAAGCAAGUUUUUGCAUACACAGAGGCUACCACCGCCCAUAAAAGAAAAGGACCUGUAAUUUGCCUCAUGAGUGGGAAUGGUAUUCACUUGUUUUUGUUUCUUCUGCAUAUGAAGGUGGUGGUGGUGGUGGUUUGUCUUUCCAAGAUGUAACGUCGCUUGUGAGGGUUCUAGAAAGCAUCAUUGUCGUCUCCUUGACGUAUACAGUGAGUGAUGAGAAUUGACCUGACAGAUUCCCUCUUGGGUUGGACAGUCUGUCACGUUCAAAACAUUUAAUGGUGUGGGGAGCAUCUAUCAAAAUUGGGUACAAAACCAGGUGUGGUUACCUCAAGUGCUAGUACCAGAUAUCAUCCAGACACUUCCUUUGGCAAUGGAAGGAAGGGCGGCGCAGAACAUGGGUAGGGGGCCAAGGUUUUGAAGAAACGAUGUUGUAUGUGAGAAAUGCCAAUCCAACGUUACUGUUUCAUGAAUCCAUUGAGAGCGGAGCGCAUGUGCAAGCAUUGGUUGCAGAUGAGAACCAGGUCAAUUACAGGAGUGCAACUUUGAACCAUACUGAUCUCUUACUUUUUCAUCAAUCCAUAUUAAGAGCGCAUGUGCAAGUGCAAACAUUGGUUGUAGGUCAAUUACAAACAAGAGUGCAACUUUGAACCAGAUUUUUGCAUGUACUAAACGUGAUUAAAUUGAAAAGGAAGGAAUCGAGUGCAUGUUAACGUUUUCACUUUCAUCAAUGGCUAGAUUUUUGCAUUGCUCAGGACGCAAGACUUGUCCUUGAGGCGUGG
rnacentral:lncRNA from 1 species